rnacentral:rRNA from 1 species
GUCUAUAGCCAUACUACCCUGAACGUGCCUGAUCUCCUAUGAUCUUGGAAGCUAAGUAAGGACGGGCCUGGUUAGUACUUGGAUGGGAGACAGAUCUUCAGAAGAGACU